GACGAACGCUGGCGGCGUGCUUAACACAUGCAAGUCGAGCGGUAAGGCCCUUUCGGGGGUACACGAGCGGCGAACGGGUGAGUAACACGUGGGUGACCUGCCCUCAGCUCUGGGAUAAGCCUGGGAAACUGGGUCUAAUACUGGAUAUGACUCCACGGUGCAUGUCGUGGGGUGGAAAGCCUUGUGCGGCUGAGGAUGGGCCCGCGGCCUAUCAGCUUGGUUGGGUGGGGUGAUGGCCUACCAAGGCGACGACGGGUAGCCGGCCUGAGAGGGCGACCGGCCACACUGGGACUGAGACACGGCCCAGACUCCUACGGGAGGCAGCAGUGGGGAAUCUUGCGCAAUGGGCGAAAGCCUGACGCAGCGACGCCGCGUGAGGGAUGACGGCC
rnacentral:rRNA from 1 species